ensembl:lncRNA
AGCGGCCCUCUGCCGGGCUCGGUGCGGCCGCGCCCUGGUGGGUAUGGAAUGGAGCGAGCGCCGGGGCUGAAGUCAGCGACGGGAAACCGAGCGACAAAAACAGAAGGUCUCGGCGGCGUGCGGUACAGGAAGGCGCCCAGAGCUCAGGAGCAGCCGCGCUCAGCGGGUCUCGCAGAGCGGAGCGCUUCACGGAACCGCUGCCAGAGAGAGAACCCCGCGCGGAGCCGCCCCCGGGGCUGCAGCGCCGGCAGCGGGCGUGGGGGAAGGCAGAGCCGGGCCUGGGGCUUCGGGCACGCUUCCAUGUCUGACGCCGUUUUGUCAGACCGCCCCUCGGCGCCGUCUGCCACACGGCAGCGCGUCCGGAACGUUGGUGGGAAGAUUCAGCCUCUGCUGCCAUCCCACCAACGUCCACCUCUGAUAUCGUGGGCCAACGUCAUAGAAUAAGAGGCGUUACUUUCAGAGCAGCCCUCGCAUUUUAGACUUCUAUCAAAGAUCAGUAGUUAAUGGUUGCUUUGCAGUUGCAGCAACACUCGUGCUACAAAAGACUAAACGCAGCCAUUAGCAGCCCAGCCCACCAGCAGCAGUACCACAGGUGAAACCUAAUCACUACAAGCACAAGAGUGGCAGAAAAUUCACCACCACACGUAUGUAUGUCCCUGGUGCCUGGCUGCUCGCUUGCAAGCACUUGCGAGAUGGGUGGAGGUCAGCAGGCUUCAAAAGCAGUUGAAAACAAAAAGACAGUUCCUUCUUAAAGGAGAUCCAAUAGCAGGCAGUGCUGGGACACGAUCGCGGACACCAUGGUGUGGUUCCAGCUUGCCAGAAUGAAGGUACAGCGGGCAGCACUCAGCAUCGAAAGCAUGCAAGCUCUGACCAGCACAAGGCGAAGCCCACAAGCAGCCCUUCCAGGACAGCUAACCCAGACAUCAACUGCCAACCCAUAGCCC